rnacentral:lncRNA from 1 species
CAUCUCCCCUAGCCCUAAGCAACUUCUAAUCUACUUUCUGUUUCUGUAGAUUUGCCUAUUCUGGACAUUUCAUAUCAAAGGAUCAUAUAAUAUGUGGUCUCUUGUGACUGUUUUCUUUUCUUUUCUUUCUUUUUGAAAUGGAGUCUCACUCUGUCGCCCAGGCUGGAGUGCAGUGACGCGAUCUUAGUUCACUGCAACCUCCACCUCCCGGGUUCAAGCGAUUCUCUUGCCUCAGCCUCCUGCGUAGCUGGGAUUAUGGGCACGCACCACCAUGCCUGGCUAAUUUUUGUAUUUUUGGUAGAGACAGGGUUUUGCCAUGUUGGCCACGCUGGUCUCAAACUCCCGACCUCAGGUGAUUCGCCCACCUCGGCUUCCCAAAGUACUGGGAUUACAGGCGUGAGCCACAGCGCACAGCCGACUGUUUUCACUGAGCGUAAUGUUCCUGAUAUUCAUCCAUGUUGUAGCACAUGGAUGCUACAGGUGAUCCAUAUCUUUACUUUUUCUGGCUGAAUAAUAUUGCAUUGUAUGGAUACACCACAUUUUGUUUGUCCAUUCAUUAGUUGAUGGAACAUUUGGGUUGUUUCUCCUUUCUGGCUAUUACGAAUAAUGCUGCUGUGAACUUUCACAUGGUCUCACUCCAAUCACCGAGGGUGGAGUGCAGUGGUGUGACCAUGGCUCAUUGCAGCCUCGACUUCCAAAGCUCAGAUGAGCCUCCCACAUCAGCCUCCUGAGUAGCUGGGACUACAGGCGGGUAUCACCACACUUGGCUAAUUUUUUGUCUUUUUAUUAGAGACAGGUUUUUGCCAUAUUGCCCAGGCUGGUCUUGAACUUCUGGGCCCAGGUGAUCUCCCCACCUCGGCCUCCCAAAGUGCUGGGAUUACAGGUGUGAGCCACUGCACCCAGCCAUAAAUGAAAUAAUUUCCUAAUUUCAUUUUAGAUUAUACAUUGCUAGUAUACAGAAAUACAAUAGAUUUUUUCAUAUUGAUCUUGUAUUCUGCAACCUUGAACUCAUUUACUACAUUGUGUUUUAUUUACUUAUGUUUGAACCAGAAAAUACUGCAUUCCUCAAAGAGUUCAUAAUUGUGAAAUGUUACCAUUUUGGAAGUAAAGGGCACAGAAAAAUAAAUUUUCAAUUUAUAUGUCAUAUUAUUUAUGAGUGUGCUUUUCAAACCAAAUUUUAUAUCUGCUAUCUUUUUUUCAGAGAAAGUCAUUGGUUUCUCAAGUGAUUGAAAGCAACAGAGGUUAGACAGUCAUGCCAAAAAAGUAAAUACAACUUGUAAAUUUAUUUUUUCACUAUUUUAAACAAAAUGAACAGUUUUGCACUUACCUGCCAAAUUUACUUAUGAAAUAAGCAAUUUAUCAAUGGUUUGGUUUAUCAGUAUUCUUGUAUAUAUCUGAUAAGUUACUUGCUUAUGAUUUUAGACAGCUGUAGCUAGAAUUCAGAUUGCUCCAGUUUAAAUGUCAAGAUUUAUAUCAAGCACAACUUUUUACAGUUUUUUUAACUUUUCAAAUUAAACAAGUUAUUAUUUUCUCUUUUUUCUUUCUUUCUUUUUCUUUUCUUUCUUUCUUUUUUUUUUUUUUUUUUGAGACAGAGUCUCGCUCUCUCGCCAGACUGGAGUGCAGUGAUCUCCGCUCACUGCAACCUCCACCUCC